GAUGAACGCUGGCGGCGUGCCUAACACAUGCAAGUCGAGCGGCAGCGAGGGGUGCUUGCACCCUGUCGGCGAGCGGCGGACGGCUGAGUAACGCGUGUGAACUUGCCCCAAAGUGAGGAAUAACUGCCCGAAAUGGUAGCUAAUACCGCAUAUUAUCUUCGGAUCAAAGGAUUUAUCCGCUUUGGUAGCGGCUCGCGUCUGAUUAGGUAGUUGGUGAGGUAAUGGCUCACCAAGCCGACGAUCCGUAGCUGGUCUGAGAGGAUGACCAGCCAGACUGGAACUGAGACACGGUCCAGACUCCUACGGGAGGGAGGAGUGAGGAAUAUUACACAAUGGGCGAAAGCGUGAUGGAGCAACGCCGCGUGCAGGACGAAGGGCUUCGGGUUGUAAACUGCUUUUAUAAGUGAGGAAUAUGACGGUAACUUAUGAAUAAGGAUCGGCUAACUACGUG
rnacentral:rRNA from 1 species